GGGGAAUAUUGGACAAUGGGCGAAAGCCUGAUCCAGCAAUGCCGCGUGUGUGAAGAAGGUCUUCGGAUUGUAAAGCACUUUCGGCGGGGACGAUGAUGACGGUACCCGCAGAAGAAGCCCCGGCUAACUUCGUGCCAGCAGCCGCGGUAAUACGAAGGGGGCUAGCGUUGCUCGGAAUGACUGGGCGUAAAGGGCGCGUAGGCGGCGGCCAAAGUCAGGCGUGAAAUUCCUGGGCUCAACCUGGGGGCUGCGCUUGAUACUUGGUUGCUUGAGUGGGGAAGAGGGUCGUGGAAUUCCCAGUGUAGAGGUGAAAUUCGUAGAUAUUGGGAAGAACACCGGUGGCGAAGGCGGCGACCUGGUCCUUGACUGACGCUGAGGCGCGAAAGCGUGGGGAGCAAA
rnacentral:rRNA from 1 species